UUAAAACAGUUAUAGUUUAUUUGAUAAUUAAAGAUUACAUGGAUAACCGAGCUAAUUGUUGGGCUAAUACAUGCUUAAAAUUCCGUGUCCUGCGACCGGAACGUAUUUAUUAGAUAUUAAACCAAUCGCAGCAAUGUGAUUGAGAUGAUUCAAAGUAACUGAUCGAAUCGCAGCUUGCUGCGAUAAAUCAUCUAAGUUUCUGCCCUAUCAGCUCUCGAUGGUAGUGUAUUGGACUACCAUGGCAGUCACGGGUAACGGAGAAUUAGGGUUCGAUUCCGGAGAAGGAGCCUGAGAAACGGCUACUACAACUACGGUUCGGCAGCAGGGAAGAAAAUUGGCCAAUCCUAACUCUGGGAGCCAGUGACAAGAAAUAGCAAGCUGGGAAACUUUGUUUCUACGGCAUUGAAAUGAGAAAAGUUUAAAACUCUUAGCGAGGAACAAUUGGAGGGCAAGUCAUGGUGCCAGCAGCCGCGGUAAUUCCAGCUCCAAUAGCGUAUAUUAAAGUUGUUGCAGUUAAAAAGCUCGUAGUUGAACUUCUGUCUAGAUUUAUUUCGACUCGUCGAGUAAAGCUGGACAUACGUCUGCAAACUAAAAUCGGCCUUCACUGGUUCGACUUAGGGAGUAGACAUUUUACUGUGAAAAAAUUAGAGUGUUUAAGGCAGGUACUAGCCUGAAUACAUUAGCAUGGAAUAAUGGAAUAGGACUAAGUCCAUUUUAUUGGUUCUUGGAUUUGGUAAUGAUUAAUAGGGACAGUUGGGGGCAUUAGUAUUUAAUAGUCAGAGGUGAAAUUCUUGGAUUUAUUAAGGACUAACUAAUGCGAAAGCAUUUGCCAAAGAUGUUUUCAUUAAUCAAGAACGAAAGUUAGGGGAUCAAAGACGAUCAGAUACCGUCGUAGUCUUAACUAUAAACUAUACCGACUCGGGAUCGGCUGGAAUAUAUGUCCAGUCGGCACCGUAUGAGAAAUCAAAGUCUUUGGGUUCUGGGGGAAGUAUGGUACGCAAGUCUGAAACUUAAAGGAAUUGACGGAACAGCACACCAGAAGUGGAACCUGCGGCUUAAUUUGACUCAACACGGGGAAACUCACGAGCGCAAGACAGAGAAGGGAUUGACAGAUUGAGAGCUCUUUCUUGAUUCUUUGGGUGGUGGUGCAUGGCCGUUCUUAGUUGGUGGAGUGAUUUGUCUGGUUAAUUCCGUUAACGAACGAGACCUUAACCUGCUAACUAGUCUGUCUGUGAACAACAGAUUGUACUUCUUAGAGGGACUAUUGUGCAAGAAGCCAAUGGAAGUUUAAGGCAAUAACAGGUCUGUGAUGCCCCUAGACGUGCUCGGCCGCACGCGCGUUACAAUGACUGGCGCAGAAAGUAUUUCCUGUCCUGGGAAGGUACGGGUAAUCUUAUUAAUACCAGUCGUGUUAGGGAUAGUUCUUUGGAAUUUUGGAUCUUGAACGAGGAAUUUCUAGUAAGUGCAAGUCAUCAGCUUGCGUUGAUUAUGUCCCUGCCGUUUGUACACACCGCCCGUCGCUUGUAGUAACGAAUGGUCUGGUGAACCUUCUGGACUGCGUUAGCAAUAAUGCGGAAAAAUAAGUAAACCCUACCAUUUGGAACAACAAGAAGUCGUAACAAGGUAUCUGUAGGUGAACCUGCAGAUGGAUCAUUAACACAAUUAACAAACCUUAACUUAUGUACUUUUGAAGUUUAUUUCGGUAAACUUCAAGGUCUUAAUGUCACACCUAGUGUGAAAAAAAAUCAUUCAUAUGUCUAAGAUCUGGAUAAACAUCCAAAAAACGAAAAGAAAAUUUUCAACGGUGGAUAUCUAGGUUCCCGUGACGAUGAAGAACGCAGCGAAAUGCGAUACGCAAUGCGAAUUGCAGAACCGCGAGUCAUCAGAUCUUUGAACGCAAGUGGUGGAGGUGUAAAAACCUUCAUGUUUGUUUCAGUGUGGAAAGGAAUCACGCAUCUUAAUGCGAUUGAAGCAUUGCUUCUCUCGUUAAACGUGAUGGGUGGUCGAGCAUCGCCGCCAGAACGAAGUAGUCACAUUUUUUAAUGUGAACAUUCGUUCAGGCAAUACGACGAAUGCUCAAUUAUACUACUCCAUAGAAAAAUUACUUUUCUCACUACACCUGAAAUAAGCAAGAUUACCCGCUGAACUUAAGCAUAUCAGUAAGCGGAGGAAAAGAAACUAACUAGGAUAGCCCCAGUAAUGGCGAAUGAACAGGCUAAAGCUCAAAGUGAAAAUCUGAAGUGGUCAACACAACAGAAUUGUAAUCUAUAGAGUUAACCUAAAGCUAAGCUCCUCGCAUAAGUUCCUUGGAACAGGACGUCAAAGAGGGUGACAACCCCGUAGUCGGUGAGGAAGGCUGGUGAAAGGGAGACUUCAAAGAGUCGGGUUGUUUGGGAUUGCAGCCCUAAGUGGGAGAUAAACUUCUUCUAAAGCUAAAUAUACACGGGAGACCGAUAGCGAACAAGUACUGCGAAGGAAAGAUGAAAAGAACUUUGAAAAGAGGGUUAAAAGACUUGAAACCGUUGAGAAGGAAGCUGUAGAAGAGCAAUAAACUGGACGUCGCAUAAGGGGGAAGCGUUACUCACUGCAAAAACGAUACGCAAGGUCGUUAUGUAAGGAAAGGACGCAGAACUUGCUACGACGGCCAGAAGACAAAAUGAGUUCUAGUUUAAGGAGUCACCUGAGAUAGGGUAGCAAUACAUAUCAAAAGGGAAACUUAAACUGGGACUGAGGGGCUUACG
rnacentral:rRNA from 1 species